rnacentral:misc_RNA from 1 species
UCCUUCACCGAAAGCUUUCCCAAUUCAUCAAAUGUACCGUAAGAAAGGUAGAAUGAAGAAAAAAUAAAAAUGUCUGUGCAAUGAUGGCCUACUGUGUGUGUAAUAUUAUGUAUUUUCGAUUUCAAACGUGACUCAGAACCAACAAUUAAUUUUCUUGGUUUCUUCCCUUUAUUGAAUGAAGACGAGUUUUUACUUGUUGCGCCCCUUGUCAUGGGCGUCGUCGCCGUUUCACAGUCAACACAGGAUCCGGAAGUUGUCAUUAUUGACAUCAAAACAUAAUGCGACAGGUCUUGUGCACUUGUCCUAACGUCAGUUCUUCACCAGUAGAUAGCAAAACGUCGGUGAAAUGAUGUGAACAUUGGGAAGGAGAAGUCUUGAAAUGUUGCUUCUCUGGCGGUAGUCAUCGUUUGAUUGUAUUGUAUUGGCUUUUGGCUACUGGGAACCAUGUCUAACAUUAUCCCUAUCGUUUCUUCGUCUCCUCCUCCUAUGGAUGACUCGACUUUCGCCUGGAAUGAUGAAGAUGAUGACGACGAUUUUGGGAAUUUUGCAAGUGCACCAGGGAUAAGUAGUUUACAUAGCGAGUCGGAGACACAGCUCUCGUCGCCUGAAAUACCUUUGCCAGCCAAUGGUUCUUUUGAUAAAGAAGAUGUGCUGGAAGAGAAAGAAACGAAUGGUAUGAAAAAUGGUAUAGUAGAUAAAACAUCUGCUUCUUGUGCAAAAAAUCUUGACAAUACUGCCUCUAAUGACCAUGCUUCAUCGGAGGAUUCAGCUCAGAAUCAUUUUGAGCCAGAAUUUGAAGGUAGCAAAAGCAGCCACACUACUAGUGAAAAUGACAUUGAGUUUGAGGCUGACUUCCAACAGUUCUCGCAGUUCCAGGAAAACACGGAGUGUUCUGACGAGCAGCAGCAGCACAGCACGAGCUCAGGCCUGGUGGAGAGUCGGGAGAAUGCGGAGAGCGACUUUGGUUCCGUGGACGAGUCGGAGAAUGCGACGAGCGACGACAAGCAGCAGUGCUCCCUGGCCAGAGUGAAUAACGAGUCUGUGCACAGCAACGCUUCCACCAUGGACUCGGGGGUUUUUGGUUCUGACAUGUCCCCGAGUCUGGUGGCGAGUCACCGGUCGGACAUUGGUCAGGAGGAAGGAAUCAGUGCUUCCGAAAGUGACGGUAAAUUGUCAUCGGACGAGCACAACAAGGUGUUAGAGGAUGAAGAUUGUGACAAUGAUUCAGUUGCCAAUACUUCUGAGACGCAAAAUGAAGCAGUGAAUUCCAAAGGUUGUGAUCUUGGUAGCAAUGAUGAUUCAGUCCUAGGCGAGCAGGAAAAUCACUGUGGUGUGGAAAGUACGAAGCAAGAGGAAGGGGACGAUGUUGACGACUGGUGUGACUUUGACUCUGCUCCUUCCGUCAGUGUUGAUACUUCUCAAAAUUCUGUACCUGAGUUGCAAAAAAGUGAUAUAAGUGACUCGUACGGUACCUUACAGCAGUCUUCUGUAGCAACAGUAUUAGAUAAAGACUCGUUAGUGACCACAUCCGUAGCCUCAGACGGUGUUAGUCAGUCACUACCUCAAAGUAGCUGUGACAGUAAAGAUUCUGACGGUGCAGACGUGGCCGUUUCAUCUGAGUGUUCUGAAAAGAGUGUUCGCCUCGACCGGUCAGAAGGUUCAUUAGAUCAACAUGAAGUUUCUGUCUGUGGUGAUGCACGUGCUGAAGAAGGAUAUGAACGAUUGAGUGACGGGGGCGGUGAGAGUUGUGAACUUUCCAAUUCUGAUGAUGAGGGGUCAAAACAUUCCAGUAAUCUCAGUGCUGAUGUAGAGUCAGAUCUGAGCAAAAAAGUCCACGUGAAUGAAACAGAGGAUGCGUCUGGAGAUGAAGAUGGUGCAGCAGCUAAAGUUACAGAGGAAAAAAUGGCAGAAAGUUCGAGUCCCAAAGAAGAAAUCCCACCAGAGGUUUGUGAACAAAUUGGAAAGACAGAACAAGUGGAGGAGGCUGCUAGUACGAGUAAAGUGUUUUCAGAGGAAGACAGUCAGCCAGAGCCAAACUUCCAGGAGUCUGUUUCCCCGGAGGAGGAUGGUGACGAUGAGGACGGAAAAGAAUUUGGUGACUUCAGCUCUCACCGCGAUAGGAAAGAAAGUGACCCUCACGAAGAAGUCACGCCCAUUACGUUCAGAACGAGCGUCUGUGAACCGGAGGAUGAGGAAGACGAUUUUCAAUUUGAGAAGGAGCAGCCUCCUGCUUUUGAUGAUGACGAUGAUGACGACGACGAUGAUUUUGGAGAUUUCGGCGCUGCACCCAUAGCUGGCUCCACUGCGGCAGUUUCGUCCGUUGUGGCAGCGGCUGAUGACUUUGGCGACUUUGGGAGUGCGGAGGCAGGAGAUGAUGCAGGGUGGGCAGAUUUUGACAGUGCACCACCGGCGCCACCAACUGCUGCUGAUACGGAAUCCUUCGGCCAUUUUGAGGAUGCCAGGACAGCGAGCCCAGUUGUCAUGGCUACAGAUCAGAGCAAAGCCGGCAAACUUGAAAGAGCAGUCCUUACUUCAUUCCCCGAGCUCCCCGGUGAGGAGCCUGCCAGUGAGGGUGAAGGAGCGGGCGAUGAGCAGCUGGAAGGGUCUGUGGCGUCCUCCGAGGGCUCGACCUUGACCUCCCUGAGCACGGUGGUGGAGCUGGGGCUGACCAACCCGACGGAGGCGCAGCAGCAGACGUGGACGGUGGUCCAGCAUCCCGCCAAGAAAGACCCCAAGGUCAUGUUGUGGGGUCAUCUGAAGGAUGUGGACUCGUCUCACGCUCUGGUCUACGGCUGGCCCAGCUCGCACUGUAGCUCCGAGGUGUUCAACACGCUGCACAUAGACACCAAGAAUGUGCUGUUCACUCAAAAGAAGCAGGCUGUGCCGUUCUUCAGUUCCGGCCUGAGUAUCCUGGAGCCCAUCAGAGGCGGCUCAGACAACAAGAAAGAGAAGAAAAACAUUCCCCUACAGCCUUCCUUACUGGACACCAGCAAACAGGAGAACACGCCGCCGCCCGCUGCCCAGGACAUUCCACCAGUUGAUUUUGACUGGAGGUCGAGCGGACUGACCAACCCUCUCACAGGCAGAGAUUUACCAACACCCUAGACUUAGAUUUUCUUGUCGUUCAGGGAAGUGACACUUAUGAAAAGACCUCAGAUGAGUGGGACUGGGUGUUCAAGGCGGACAACCAGGACACGGGCCGGUCUGGUCUCCAGCCUCUGG